GAUUUAACUAUAAAUAGAAAGAAAAUCUUUUACUUCGCAUCAGUCAGUUUUCAUAGUUUGGAAUACUCAAUUAAACAUAUAAAUAAUUCAGACUCUCUUAGUAAAACAAACAAUAUAUAUUCGUAUUUGAUCUUCUCGCAAGUGGCAAAACAAAGAAGAGCUGACAAUCAGGUGAUGAGCAUAAGCUUUUGCGGGAUUUCAAUUUAAAAAAAUAUAUAUGAAUAUUAUGUAAUACAGCUCUUAAAUCGAAGAAAAAAUAUUUUCCCAAUAAUGUUUUUUUCUUUAAGCUCUCUAGGAGUUUAAUUUCAAAUAAAGGUUUUGAGUGUGUUUUUCUCAAAAUUCUUCAUUGAUAAUUAAUUAUAAUUGUUGUUUGUUAAGAAGUCUAAUUAA
rnacentral:lncRNA from 1 species